rnacentral:rRNA from 1 species
UACGAAGGGGGCUAGCGUUGUUCGGAAUUACUGGGCGUAAAGGGCGCGUAGGCGGUGUGUCAAGUCAGGCGUGAAAGCCCCGGGCUCAACCUGGGAACUGCGUUUGAAACUGGGAGACUCGAGUGUGGCAGAGGGGGGUGGAAUUCCACGUGUAGCAGUGAAAUGCGUAGAUAUGUGGAGGAACACCGAUGGCGAAGGCAGCCCCCUGGGUCAACACUGACGCUCAUGCACGAAAGCGUGGGGAGCAAACAGG